GGCUCUGUGGCGCAAUGGAUAGCGCAUUGGACUUCUAAUUCAAAGAUUGUGGGUUCGAAUCCCACCAGUGUCG
rnacentral:tRNA from 1 species